rnacentral:lncRNA from 1 species
AGAGGGAGAACAAUGGAGGACUCGUAAUAGAUAGAGAAGGGGGGAAGUUAUGGACGAGGCAGAGGUUGUAGUUCCAAGUAAGAGAAAUGAUGAUGGAGUGGAAGCAGUUGUCAAACUUCCGGUGUAUUGAUGUUUUGCAGAAAGGACCUUCCUGACUAACAAUUGCAUCUGUCUGCUCGUGUACACCGGAUCGUCUUGUUUAACUACUAUUUACCAAACCGGACUUUCAUAUAUAACGAUGAUAUAUUCAUGGGCACAUUUGAUCUCAGUACAAUGUAUCGCUUGUUUAAAUGCUAUGGCUUGUAUGUAUUUCAAAUGAAAUUAUGUAUUUGAAUCCGUGGAAUGAAAU